rnacentral:rRNA from 1 species
UGGCGGCGUGCUAACACAUGCAAGUCGAACGAGAAAGUGGAGCAAUCCAUGAGUAAAGUGGCGACCGGGUGAGUAACACGUGACUAACCUACCCUACAGUGGGGGAUAACCUCGGGAAACCGGGGCUAAUACCGCAUAAUAUCGUGAGAUCAAAGAAGUAAUUCGCUGAAGGAGGGGGUCGCGGCUGAUUAGUUAGUUGGUAGGGUAACGGCCUACCAAGACGAAGAUCAGUAGCCGGCCUGAGAGGGCGCACGGCCACACUGGAACUGAAACACGGUCCAGACUCCUACGGGAGGCAGCAGUGGGGAAUUUUGCGCAAUGGGGGAAACCCUGACGCAGCAACGCCGCGUGGAGGAUGAAGUCCCUUGGGAUGUAAACUCCUUUCGAUCGGGAAGAAUAAUGACGGUACCGGAAGAAGAAGCACCGGCUAACUCUGUGCCAGCAGCCGCGGUAAUACAGAGGGUGCAAGCGUUGUUCGGAAUUAUUGGGCGUAAAGGGCGUGUANGCGGUGCGGUAAGUCUGUAGUGAAAUCUCUGGGCUCAACUCAGAGUCUGCUAUAGAAACUGCCGUGCUC